rnacentral:lncRNA from 1 species
AAAUUCUUGUCUCCUUCAUCACUAACCCAACCAUUACUACAGAAAUCAAAAAAUUCAGAAAUUUCAGGUAUAAACCCUAAGCAACAUAAACAAACACAUAAAUCUUAAUUGCAAACUCAAAUCAGCAACCAAAUUGCAAACUCAAACCAACAAUUAAAUGAAACCCAAACCAAAAUGAAAGAUCAAAAGACAAAAUUAUUAUUAACUGAAAUUAUAGAUUUAAGAAAUUAGACAAAUUUGUCAAGUCCACUCAUCUUCCCUAUCACCACAACACAUGCCCACCACUAUCAUCACCUCUGCCCGUCAUUAUCACCAACAUUACACCACCAAAAGAAAAAUAAAAAUAAAAAGGACGAAAGUGAAAGAGAAACAAAAGAUUUAUAGGUGCCAAGUCAAAAACACAUUUACCUCCAAAAGAAUUCAGACACAUUAAUUAGUACAAGUAUCCCGACUGCGCUUUAAGCCUUUCGGUGUUUAAAAAGCAAAAAAAAAUAGCGCAAAACAUAUGGGAGCAUAUAUAUAUAUAACCCUGAAUAAACUACCACCAGAUCUGCUCUAUCUGUGUAUCUGAUAUUUCUAGAGAGAGAAAGACAAGUUAUGGAUGAGAAACUGAUACAGAGGUUGGAGUCUGCCGUGGCGCGGCUGGAGUCGCUGUCUUCUUUCUCGGAUUUGGGUAUGUAAAGAGGCAAGUUUUGGUUGAGAUCUACUAGAUCUGAGAAGUCAGUGAACAUAUGAAGUGAUGAUGCAUCAGCGGUUGGGCUGGGGAUCUCGAGGGCUAAAUCUGAGAAGUCAGUGAACAUAUGAGAUCUGUGAACCAUUACAGUGAUAGAUAUUAAGGGGUUUUAGGUAAAAGUAGAUUCAUUCACCAGAUGAAGCGGUAGGGUAGUGAAGAUGCAUCUGUGGUUUAAUUUUUUUUUUGAAGAACAUCUGUGGUUUAAUUUGGGUAUGCAGAGAGGCAAGGUUUGGUUGAGAUCGAUUGUGAUGGUUUGCUGUUUUUGAUAGUUGUGUGACAAUUUUACCCUUGAAUAUAUUAAAAAUAUUUAAUAGCAAAGUAAAAAAAAUAUUUUUUUAUACACAUCAGUUGAUUAAUGGCCCACUCAGAUAGCUACGUCAGCAAUUUCUGACGUGGCAUGUUAAAUUUGUUGGAAUUGGAAAACAUUAAUAGUUCAAUCAUCUAAUUGACAAAAUUAAAAAG